UACGUAGGAUCCGAGCGUUGUCCGGAUUUACUGGGUGUAAAGGGCGUGUAGGUGGAUUGGCAAGUCGGUGGUGAAAGCCUGCGGCUCAACCGCAGAAUUGCCCUCGAAACUACCAAUCUUGAGUACGGCAGAGGGAGAUGGAAUUCAUGGUGUAGCGGUGAAAUGUGUAGAUAUCAUGAAGAACACCGGUAGCGAAGGCGGUCUCCUGGUCCGUUACUGACACUGAGGCGCGAAAGCGUGGGGAGCAAACAGG
rnacentral:rRNA from 1 species